UACGGAAGGGGCAAGCGUUGUUCGGAAUCAUUGGGCGUAAAGGGCGCGUAGGCGGUUCUGUAUGUCUACCGUGAAAGCGUACGGCUCAACCGUAUUUUGUCGGUGGAAACUGCAGGACUUGAGGCUGGGAGGGGCUGGUGGAAUUCCCUGUGUAGCGGUGAAAUGCGUAGAGAUGGGGGAGAACACUCGUGGCGAAGGCGGCCAGCUAGACCAGUUCUGACACUGAGGCGCGACAGCGUGGGGAGCAAACAGG
rnacentral:rRNA from 1 species